GCGUGCAGAGAGCGAUGCGGGGUGGGGAGAGCGGUGGAUGCGAAGUCUGCUCCCCCCGGAGCGCCGCGCUGAGCGGAGUGCUGAGUCAGGGGUUGCCGUGGCGCUGCUGGGACCGAGCAGCUGCGCGGCAAGAGAGACUGCUCUGUGACCAGGAGUCUGCCAGAAAUACCGUAUUCUAGAUAUUAAAAAAAAAAAAAAAAGUGCAUAGGGCUACAGGAACACAAUUAAAAGAAUACCACUAGUUAAAAUUCCUGUUAAAAAAACUUCCAAGGGGUUUCCAUUCCAGAUAAUGCAAAGUUGCACCUACACUAACGUGUUGUAGCUGUAGUGAGUCCCAGAGGUGUUGAUGCCCUCAGGCUUCAGCCCACUGCAGGAGCUGGACACUUUCACUGAUCCUGGCUAGUGAAAGUGAGAGUGGGCAACUGCUGCUCAUCACAGAGUCAGCGGUCACAAAGACUUUCACUGAUCCCUGCUAGUGACAGAGCAGCAACGCUGCUGCUCAUCGCUGAGUGAAGAUCGGGCAACUUGUCUAAAUUUCACUAGUGCAGUGUUAGAGCACUUACAGCAUCUCUGGGGCACUGGCAGAAAAAUGGCCUGACACAACAAGCACCUCCAGCUUUCCCAGAGACUCAAGUCCUAAAUGGCUUUGAAGGGGCAACCCCAGUCUCACAUACAGACCUCUACACAGGAAUGGGCUGUCAUCUCCUUUUUCCUUACACGGAGGCAGCUUCCAGAACAAUUUCCUCCAGCGCCACACAGUUGGGGUGACUGGCUAUGGAGUGGACGUAGCAGUUCAAUAACCCCACCUCCUUUCCCAGCACGCUCUGCACCUCGUAAGUCUGCAGGAGUAAAAGCAUGGUGAGUAAAACAAACAGUGCUGGACGUUCUGUUCUAGGCAGCAUUCAGCUGGGAAGAUGCAGCAUGCUAGAUCCUCUUCCAACAGACAGUUUUUUUAAAGGACUUGAGAAGUGCAUUAGAACUAAUGGAAAGAAUGAAUGUAUUAGAUUUUCAAUAAUUAGAUCACACUCUUGUCUCAGUUGCUGCACUACCAGGCUUUAAAAAUGUGCUGUUUAAAAAAGUUAUUGUGACUUCGAACUCAGUUUUGCUGAAGCAUAACCUACACAAGCUCCCUUUAUCUUCCUUUCUGACACUUGCAGGACUUCAUGUGUGCUGGCAAUGUGUAUAUACAUACUAUAUGUUGAUCACCUGUGCUAACUGAUCCACUAAAGGAAAAAUUUUGUAACCCUUCUUGCUGCCCUCCCUUUUAACUUUUUGUUGUUCAUGCAUUACCACCAGCAGCACCAACACAGUCCCUCCUGUUCAAUGACCUGACUGGCAUUUCACCCCCGAGUUGUGCCUGAGAGAAUUUGCAGAGGCUGUGUUCUGUGUGGAGGAGAGGGAUGCAAGGCUGGCCUGGCUGCACUAAGAGGAGACAGCACGUUAACACAAGAACUGGUAACACUCACAAUUGAUAUUUCACUUGAGAGGGUAUCUCAGGUGGCAGGUUCACAUCCAUUUCUUUCCUUAAUAGCCUACAACCACCUCUGACUGUGCCCCUGCCUUCAUCUGCUCUGUGCCUCUGUACAGGUAUGUGAUACCCACGGCGCUGCCUGGCUCAAGGUAUAAACAAUCUUUUUUCUUUUUUUUCCCUUGGAUUAUUUUUACCCCAGACCGGUUCUGCAGUCCAGUUCACUCUGCAGCUGCACAAACAACUCUACUGUGUAACAGAAGAGCUGCCACAAGGUUUUAUCAGUUCAUCAGCAAUAAAAAUACUACGUCUUAGCUCUAGGAAGGAGCAAAGUGCAGCCUGUGCCUGCAGGAAUCAUUGCAUCACCUACUGCUGUUAUGGCUACAUCUACAAAACACCUGGAGUGCUCUGGAGCAUGCUGACUCUCACCUGUCCUGGGGACACACUUCCAACUUUCCAUUGCCACAUCUGUUGCAUGUAGGCCAGGAGAAAGCAGUGCUCUCAUUAACUCCAACAACGGUACCUGCAGAAGAUGGAAUUCUUACAAAAUGCUAACAUUAAGCCAGCAAACACAGUCACUCUUGGCUUCACAGCAGGUUUGAGCCCUUCUGACCUACAGCUUAAGACUUGUCAGAGCAAGAAUCAGCUCUUCCAACAAUCUCACUCCCUUUCUCCUUUGCCCCUCCAACAAGGGAUGAAAGUACAGCAGAGUGUUACAUUCUAAAAAUACCAGAAAGUAGAUAAUUGACAAUUAACUUUCCAAACAGGCUCUGUCCUUUUGGUUUGGAUUUUACUGCUUUUCUGAUUUGUUUUUGCUUGUUUGCUUUCUUUCUGGUCCUCUGAUGUUUUCUUGGCAAUAAAUAGCUCUAAAAAUCA